rnacentral:rRNA from 1 species
AGAGUUUGAUCAUGGCUCAGGAUGAACGCUGGCGGUCUGCUUAACACAUGCAAGUCGAACGAAUCCCUUCGGGGAUUAGUGGCGGACGGGUGAGUAACGCGUGAGAAUCUACCAAAAGGACUGGGACAACCACUGGAAACGGUGGCUAAUACCGGAUGAGCCGCAACGUAAAAGAGGAAACUCGCCUUUUGAAGAGCUCGCGUCUGAUUAGCUAGUUGGUGAGGUAAAGGCUCACCAAGGCGGCGAUCAGUAGCUGGUCUGAGAGGAUGAUCAGCCACACUGGGACUGAGACACGGCCCAGACUCCUACGGGAGGCAGCAGUGGGGAAUUUUCCGCAAUGGGCGAAAGCCUGACGGAGCAAGACCGCGUGAGGGAGGAAGGCUCUUGGGUUGUAAACCUCUUUUGUCAGGGAAGAACACAAUGACGGUACCUGAAGAAUCAGCAUCGGCUAACUCCGUGCCAGCAGCCGCGGUAAUACGGAGGAUGCAAGCGUUAUCCGGAAUUAUUGGGCGUAAAGCGUCCGCAGGUGGCACUUCAAGUCUGCUGUCAAAGACCGGGGCUUAACCCUGGAAAGGCAGUGGAAACUGAAGCGCUAGAGUGUGGCAGGGGUAGAGGGAAUUCCCGGUGUAGCGGUGAAAUGCGUAGAGAUCGGGAAGAACAUCGGUGGCGAAAGCGCUCUACUGGGCCACAACUGACACUCAGGGACGAAAGCUAGGGGAGCGAAUGGGAUUAGAUACCCCCGUAGUCC